rnacentral:rRNA from 1 species
GACGAACGCUGGCGGCGUGCUUAACACAUGCAAGUCGAACGGUGAAGCGCCUUCCUUUUUGGUGUGUGUGGAUGGGUGGCGAACGGGUUAGUAACUCGAGAGUAACCUUCUCCCUCCUUGUGGAUAACCGCAGGAAAGUGUUGCUAAUACGGGAUAUUCUGGAUCUGUCGCAUCAUGGGUCUGGGAAAGAUUGUGUUUCGGUGGGAGAUGGGCUCGCGGGGUAUUAGCUUGUUGGUGGGGUGAUGGCGUACCAAGGCGGCGAUGAUUAGCAGACCUGAUAGGAGGGUGGGCGAUCACACAGGGACUGAACGGCCCAGCCGCCUACGGGAGGAGGCAGCAGGGAAGAUUAGUGAACGGGGGGAAGCAGGAUGAAGCAGCGCCGCGUCGGUGGGGAAGGAGUUCUGCUUGUUGUGCACUUCUUUUGGGAGUGAAGAACGGCUGCCUAGUAUGUGGGUGGGUUGACGGUAGCUAGAGAAUAAGCGCCGGCUAACUACGUG